GACGAACGCUGGCGGCGUGCCUAAUACAUGCGAGUAGAACGCUGAAGAGAGGAGCUUACUCUUCUUGGAUGAGUUGCGAACGGGUGAGUAACGCGUAGGUAACCUGCCUUGUAGCGGGGGAUAACUAUUGGAAACGAUAGCUAAUACCGCAUAACAAUGGAUGACACAUGUCAUUUAUUUGAAAGGGGCAAUUGCUCCACUACAAGAUGGACCUGCGUUGUAUUAGCUAGUAGGUGAGGUAAUGGCUCACCUAGGCGACGAUACAUAGCCGACCUGAGAGGGUGAUCGGCCACACUGGGACUGAGACACGGCCCAGACUCCUACGGGAGGCAGCAGUAGGGAAUCUUCGGCAAUGGGGGCAACCCUGACCGAGCAACGCCGCGUGAGUGAAGAAGGUUUUCGGAUCGUAAAGCUCUGUUGUAAGUCAAGAACGGGUGUGAGAGUGGAAAGUUCACACUGUGACGGUAGCUUACCAGAAAGGGACGGCUAACUACGUG
rnacentral:rRNA from 1 species